rnacentral:snRNA from 1 species
AUGCUCACUUCAGCAGCACAUAUACUAAAAAUUGGAAUGAUACAGAGAAGAUUAGCAUGGCCCCUGCACAAGGGUGACAUGCAAAUUCAUGAAGCGCUCCAUAUUUUC